CAAGGUCUAGCGACCGUCGGGCCUGCACUGCACCAGUGGCGGACCGGGGCGUCCGGGCCCAGACGCCGGCGUCCAUUUUCUGGGCGGCGCUGCGGCCGGACUCGCAGGUCCGGAAGCGCCAUGGACCCCGCGGGAAGCGCGCGGGCGGCGGAGCGGAGCCCCGUAAGUGCGCCGGGGCCUGCGCGUCUCCAGAGCGUGGGGGUGGGGAGGCAGGAGCCGGUGGGCAGCGCUGCAGCCUUCCCCGGACGCGCAGCGGAGCUUACGGAGCAGUCAGCGCCCGCAGGUGCCCGCGUCCCGCCCCACCAGGCUCCGCUGCAGGGGGGCAGCGGGGAGUGACGCGUACCUGGGGCUCGGGACUGUCGUACCUCCCCUCCCCUGAAGCACAAACCCGAGCUGCUUCCUGACCCUACCGGAUCGCGUUGAGAUUCUAGUGCGACACCAAGCCCCUGGAAUUGAACCGGACGUUCAAAGCCAGGGCCCUGCCCCCAGGGGUUGCAGCCUCGGCCUCCAGCUCCUACUGCAGCGGUCUGUCUGUUGGGACAAUUCAACAGUCAGCCUUUAGACACUUCUUUGCAGGUCAGCUGAUAAAUAACCUGAGAUUUUAAUCUAUCUGCGCUUCCACUUUAUAACUCCUGCUUUGCGGUGGAUCUUGAUGUGGAAGACAUGGAGGGCCCAGAACCAAGGAUUUCCAAGUGAUUUCUGCCAAAGCACAGAAGCUAACUCUGUUAAGGCUGGCGUGUUCUAACUGAGGGCUCCGGUGCCCUCCCUGGCCUCCACACGCAUGCCACGGGAUCGGGAAUGGCAUCACCCCACCUUCCAUUGCUCCCUGCAGUGUAACCACAGCAGCCUUCACAGCUGUGUGUGUUCAUGUGACCCCACAAGCCUUUCGUCAGCUCUGUCAGGAUCGUGAUUGGUUCCUGAA